rnacentral:rRNA from 1 species
GGUGCCGUUGAUACUGUGAGGCUAGGAUUUGGUUGCUGUGGGUGGAAUGUGUGGUGUAGCGGUGAAAUGCUUAGAGAUCACACAGAAUAUCGAUUGCGAAGGCAGCUCACAAAGCCAAGAUUGACGCUGAGGCACGAAAGUGUGGGGAUCAAACAGGAUUAGAUACCCUGGUAGUCCACACUGUAAACGAUGAUAACUCGCUGUCGGCGAUAUACAGUCGGUGGCCAAGCGAAAGCGAUAAGUUAUCCACCUGGGGAGUACGACCGCAAGGUUGAAACUCAAAGGAAUUGACGGGGGCCCGCACAAGCGGAGGAACAUGUGGUUUAAUUCGAUGAUACGCGAGGAACCUUACCCGGGCUCGAACGGUGCAGGAAUAUGGUAGAGAUAUCAUAGCUAGCAAUAGUCUGUAUCGAGGUGCUGCAUGGUUGUCGUCAGCUCGUGCCGUGAGGUGUCGGCUUAAGUGCCAUAACGAGCGCAACCCUCGCCGAUAGUUACCAACGGGUCAAGCCGGGGACUCUAAUGAGACUGCCACCGUAAGGUGAGAGGAAGGGGGGGAUGACGUCAAAUCAGCACGGCCCUUAUGUCCGGGGCGACACACGUGUUACAAUGGGGGGUACAGAGGGCAGCCAUCCGGCGACGGAGCGCCAAUCUCAAAAACCCUUCUCAGUUCGGAUUGGAGUCUGCAACCCGA